UUUGGAGAGAGAGGAAGGAGUGAGCUGAUCCAGGAGUUGAAAAACUGACUUCUGUCUGAAAACACACACCAGAGAGGUUGGCUCCAGGUGAUUCCCUGAUCCAGAGAUCUCUUUCCCUGUGAUUCCUGACCCCAGAUCCUCACAAGAAGACAAGCCAAUUUAUUUGGACAGGACGUUGAAACAUAAGCUGUCCACCAAGAAAGAUUUCCAUCAACCUCCUUGAAUUUGAACUUGGGGACACUCACUGUGCAGCCAAGAACCAGAGUGCAUUUACUCUGACCCCAAGGGGUUCAAGUGAACCCAAACCUGAUCUGCCUGACAUUGGGGGGAAGAGUAUUAGUUAGAGAGGGACCCCCUCUCCCUCCUUCCUUCUUGAACCUCAAUUUCUUACCCUCCAUCUGCCCUGUUCCUUUUCUGUUUCCCUCAAAUAAAUUUCAGUUAAUAAGACUCAGGAACUGACUCAAACUGUUACUAGAGGGAAACUUGAGAUUGAGGGGGAGAGAAGUGACAUUUCUCUCCCCAGGAAGAAAAGAGGCUUAUCACCACAAGCCUCUUCAAGGAGAUCCUUCAGAGAACCCAGCAGUCAUCACAGUUCACUGAUAAAGCAAAACUCAAGCAACUGGCAAUGGCUCAGGAUGUGAUGGAUGACCCUGAUGUCUUUGAUGUCUUCCCAAUCUGCAUUUGUAAAAGCUUAUAUAAAAGAAUUGUAGAAGAUUAUGAAUAGCAUCAUCAAAUAGCAAGAAGUUAUAGAAGGAAAAGGAAGUUUAAAGAUCUUGGACAGAGGCCCAAUUAAGUAAAAUGAAAUCAAGGGCAUUAAAGGAUGAAAAGUAGAGAAACACACUCACAUACCACCACCACUCCCCACACACAGACUUCAGAAGGGAAAAAAAGGAAAUGAUAUAUAAUACUUGUAUAAAAAUUAUUUUCUUCAUCAUUGAUAAUGAACUCCUUGCCACUUUGUGUGAACACAUAGUGAGAAUGACAUUUAAGAAAAGGGAGAUAGGAAGAAUGCCUGGGAUAAUACUGUAGGUACCACAAUUUUGAGAAUAACGAAGGAUAAAGACUGAAGAUAUUCAAAAAGGGAAGAGUAUCAAAUGUUUAAGAGAAAAAUAUAGAAAUUAUCAAAACCUGAUCAAGAAAAUAUUGGUAACUAAUGACAUGUCUGCCUACUUCCCCUUCCAAUUAAAGUCUUUAAUAAAGCAAUGUA